rnacentral:rRNA from 1 species
CAGCAGCCGCCGCGGUAAUACGAAGGGGGCUAGCGUUGCUCGGAUUUACUGGGCGUAAAGGGCGCGUAGGCGGACUGAUAAGUCAGGGGUGAAAUCCCAAGGCUCAACCUUGGAACUGCCUUUGGUACUGUUUGUCUUGAGUUCGAGAGAGGUAAGUGGAACUGCGAGUGUAGAGGUGAGAUUCGUAGAUAUUCGCAAGAACACCAGUGGCGAAGGCGGCUUACUGGCUCGAAACUGACGCUGAGGCGCGAAAGCGUGGGGAGCAAACAGGAUUAGAUACCCCCGUAGUCCCUGUCUCUUAUAA